rnacentral:rRNA from 1 species
CCAGCAGCUGCGGUAAUUCCAGCUCCAAUAGCGUAUAUUAAAGUUGUUGCAGUUAAAAAGCUCGUAGUCUGAAUCUUGGUUGGUGUUGAGCGUCCGUGGCUUCGGUCACGUGCACGUAACACACUGGCCAUAUCCUUCGGAGGAACGCGUGUGCCUUUCAUUAGGUGCAUGUCGGGAUUCCGAUAGUUUACUUUGAGAAAAAUAGAGUGUUCAAAGCAGGCGAUUUUGCCCUUGAAUACGUUAGCAUGGGAUAAUGAAAUAGGACAUUGGUUCUCUAUUUCUGAUGGUUUGAAGGACCGAUGUAAUGAUUAAUAGGGACAGUUGGGGACAUUCAUAUUCCAUGGCUAGAGGUGAAAUUCUUGGAUUCAUGGAAGAUGAACUACUGCGAAAGCAUUUGUCAAAGAUGUUUUCAUUGAUCAAGAACGAAAGU